GUCCACGCCGUAAACGAUGAAUGCCAGCCGUUGGAGAGCAUGCUCUUCGGUGGCGCAGCUAACGCAUUAAGCAUUCCGCCUGGGGAGUACGAUCGCAAGAUUAAAACUCAAAGGAAUUGACGGGGGCCCCGCACAAGCGGUGGAGCAUGUGGUUUAAUUCGAAGCAACGCGAAGAACCUUACCAGCCCUUGACAUGGCAGGACGGUUUCCAGAGAUGGAUUCCUUCCCUUCGGGGACCUGCACACAGGUGCUGCAUGGCUGUCGU
rnacentral:rRNA from 1 species